UUGCAAGUUAUUGAGUGUGGAUCUAGCUGCAAUAAUUGUCAUUAAUUCGGUUUUCGUUAGAUGGUUGUCAAAUUUUGCAGGUUGUUAGGAAAUCAUCUUGGUCACAAAUACAUAAUUUCC